rnacentral:lncRNA from 1 species
GUUGAGUAAUUGCAGAAAUUCUGCAGGAAGGAUAAGCUCUUGCUGAACGCAAAUGUUGUGCUCGUGAUAAUGAAAGGGUUUAAUACCUUUCUGUAGUGUAAAAUUAUCCAGUUUGUCAAAGGCAUUGAUUACCAUAAUUUCUUAUCAAACAUUUUUCUCAAAUUUCAGACAAAGCACAAGAGGCUGGAGACCAGAUGAAGCAACGGAAGAACUGGUAACGCACAGCAAACUCAAAUAAAACAGGGUUGGUCUUUGCUAGCAACACUGCAUUGUGUUUUACUACCUGACAAAGUUAGUAGUCCUCAGUUCAAGAAGCCACAAAUUGAAAUGAUGGCUCGACGCUGGCAACAUCACUGUUUGGAGGUAAGAGAUGCUGCUCAGGCUUUACUUUUGGCCGAAUUGACGCGGCUUGGAAGCAGGGAAGAAAAACUCUCGUUGACUACUGGGCCCAGUAUUUGCCAACGUACAAUGCCUCGGACAAUUCUCACCCACCACACCAAUGCCAGUCAUAACCCAAGUAAUUUUUUUUAUUAACAUUUUUCAGGGAUAUUUGCACGUCAUUCUGCCAACUUGUAUCUUUGACAGUUUGUUUCAUUUAUUUGAGCAUCAACAGUUUUGUUAUGUCCUCCGCCAUUGAACAGCAAUAUCAAUCAAUUUCUUCUAAUUGUACCAUGUUGUGUAGGUCGGCCCCCUUCGAGUUAACUCUGUUGGCUGUUAGUAGUGUUGCUGUCUAGUAUUAGUCAUUCGUUAGAUAGAUAGAUAGAUAGAUAGAUAUUUAUUCAAAAAAUUCAAACAUAAAAUAAAAACAACAUUGAUCUGCCCGGCAAAUUGGGAUGCCCAAUUAAACUGCCGGAUCAGACUUAAAUAAAUUUAACAAAUAAUUAUAGAAAAAAGAGAGAAAAAAAAGAAAAUAGAAAAGAGAGGGGAAAAAAUAAAAUAAAUUAAAAAAAAAAGAAAGAAAUAAAAUAAAAUAAAAUAAUAAAUAAAUAACAUGAACAUCGACAUAAAUUAAAAACAGAAAUAGACCCAAAUGAAAACUGAAAAAAGACGCAAUUAUAAAAAAAAAAAAGAAUGAAAGAAAAAGAAAAAAAAGAAAAAAAAAAUGAAAGGAAAAAAAAAUGAAAUACAUGAAUAUAUAUAUCUUUAAUACAAUUAAUAAAGAAUUUGAAAAUAUACAAUUAAUAAAGAUUAAUUAAUUAUCGUUAAUUAAUCGUUAUAUCGUUCUAAUUAAUCGUUAAAUUAUAUUUCUGCAAACACCUUUUUCUUAAUCAAGAAAGCCUUUUUCAGGGAUUCUGCAUAAUUCAAGAAACAUAUGAUUGCUUAUGAGUGAACGGAUCAGAUGAGUCAAAAAUACCUAUACUUGAUCGGUUUGAAUUUUAUACGUUCAGUUUAAACAUCUGUCCUUUUUUCACAGGGAAGCAAUAUUGAAACUGCUCACCACGAGGAGAGAUUGAAGAUGAUGAUGAAGGAGUUGAAGGUAAGCUCUUUUUGUAACCAAUAAAUUUUUUUCAGCCACUUUCUUUUUAUACUGGUGCAACUAUGUUUACCUUUAGGCCUCAAUAUCAUAUGGUGAUGAGACAGCACUUGUCACCAAAUAUAAGAUGAUUUCAGUUAAAUAUUUUGAAUAAUUUGAGUGAGACGGUAUUUAUUCUAACUGUCAUUGCCCCUAUCAGUUCAUUUCCUGUGACAUUUUUAUUUUAAAUUGUAAUUGAAUGGACCACCAGAAAAUGUGAAAAUUCAAGCAUCAUGAUUGUUGCUUUCUCAUCAGCAUUUCUUGUAGCGAACGGGAUUUGUACAAUGAAAAUCACUGGAAAUUUAAAAAAUAAUCAAUAUGUUUAUGACUCCCUUGAAACGCGUCCAAAUUUAAUAAAUAAAAGUGCAAGUGAGUCAUAAACAUGUUAUCAUUUUUUUACGUAUUAAACUUGUGCUGACUUCAAAAGUGUCUUUACAGUACUGGAAAUAUUUCCUAAACAAGAUUAACGGUAACGUUAUUAAUGUUUUUUGAUGCAUGAAUUCAAACUUCCCUUUCUUGAAGAAUAAUAUUUUACUUAGGUUGAUUCGC